GAAUAUGGUUCCCAAAGAAAAGUACAGAAAGCCCUUUCUGUGACUCAAGUACUGUUUGUAAGGCUUGAAACCAGUGUCUCCUAUUUCUCUUUCUUCUUGCUUAAUCAAUUGAUCUCCCAAACGUUCUCUUAAUUGUUCUUCAACAUGAACUUUCUGUAUUUCCUCUUUGAAAGAUGCACCUCUUUUGUCAGAAGUAUGCACAACUUGCCUAUCAGAAGCAGCAGAGUUCUUUU
rnacentral:misc_RNA from 1 species